AGAUUAAGCCAUGCAUGUCUCAGUGCAGGCCUUCAUACGGUGAAACCGCGAAUGGCUCAUUAAAUCAGCUAUGGUUUAUUGGAUCGUACCCGUUAUAAAUGGAUAACUGUAAUAACUCUAGAGCUAAUACAUGCCACGAUGCCCUGACUCUUGUGUACUAGCUUGCCUGGUUUGCUGGGGAAUGGGUGCACUUAUUAGAUCAGAAGCCAACUAGCACAUAUGUUUGCGCCCUUCUUGGACGCGGAUGUGUGGGCUGCAGUACUUCUGGUGACUCUGGAUAAUUGUUACAGAUCGCAGUCGGCCUUGAGUCGGCGACGGGUCCUUCAAAUGUCUGCCCUAUCAACUUUCGAUGGUAGGUGAUUUGCCUACCAUGGUGAUAACGGGUAACGGGGAAUCAGGGUUCGAUUCCGGAGAGGGAGCCUGAGAAACGGCUACCACUUCCAAGGGAGGCAGCAGGCGCGCAAAUUACCCACUCCCAGUACGGGGAGGUGGUGACGAAAAAUACCGAUGCGGGACUCAAUAUUGAGGCUCCGUAAUCGGAAUGAGUGGACUCUAAAUCCUUUCACGAGGAUCAAUUGGAGGGCAAGUCUGGUGCCAGCAGCCGCGGUAACUCCAGCUCCAAUAGCGUAUAUUAAAGUUGCUGCAGUUAAAAAGCUCGUAGUUGGAUCUCGGUAGCAUUGUUGCCUGCGCAGGUACUCAGCCGCUGUGUGUUGCAUCAUA
rnacentral:rRNA from 1 species